rnacentral:lncRNA from 1 species
UCCAGCCUGUUCUGGGCACCACUGGCCCGUUUUGGUGCCUUCUGAAAUUUUCGUAGGCCAACCAGACUCCCCUGGAAUUUUCGUUGGCCAACCAGAAUCUCCUGGCACCUUUCCGCGCACCCCCAAUGCUUCUGGAAGCUUCCAGCGCCUUCCAGCACAUCCCAAUUCCUUUCCAUCACUGGCAGACUCGAACCUCACGCUACCCAGCUCCAUUUCUCCGAAGUGACGCUCCUUUACUCAAGCUACGAGCGCAACGAGCCAAAGGGGAGCGUGGAGCUGAACUUGUGCAAGACCGCGAUGGCGAACGGUAGGGGUGCAAGCACUUGGGGAAUAAGUGAGCCCGUGACAC